rnacentral:rRNA from 1 species
CAGUCGCCGCGGGAAUACGUAGGUGGCAAGCGUUGUCCGGAAUUAUUGGGCGUAAAGCGCGCGCAGGCGGAUAGGUCAGUCUGUCUUAAAAGUUCGGGGCUUAACCCCGUGAUGGGAUGGAAACUGCCAAUCUAGAGUAUCGGAGAGGAAAGUGGAAUUCCUAGUGUAGCGGUGAAAUGCGUAGAUAUUAGGAAGAACACCAGUGGCGAAGGCGACUUUCUGGACGAAAACUGACGCUGAGGCGCGAAAGCCAGGGGAGCGAACGGGAUUAGAUACCCCUGUAGUCCCUGUCUCUUAUACC